rnacentral:sRNA from 1 species
UGUUAGCCCUGAUCGAAACGGCAUCCUUUUUAUCCUGAAUCUAGUNNACUAGAUUCAGGAUAAAAAGAUACAGUGUAGAGCAGGAAAUAGC